AUGGCGACGGAUGUUCCAGCAAUUUUGGGAAGAGAGUCCAGCCCAAAAGUAAGAAUGGUGAAAAGGCUAUUUAGCAUGGAAAAAGCAGAAGACAUUUUAAGGCAACAUGGACAUCUCUUCACAGGACUUGGAUGCUUGCCAGGUGAACAUACCAUAAACCUUGUUCCUGACGUAAAACCAGUGGUACAUGGAACAAGAAAAAUUCCUGUAGCUAUAAGGAACAGGGUCAUUGAACAGCUACACAGGAUGGAACCGGCUGAUGUGAUCACAAGACAGUUUGAGCCAACUCCUUGGGUGAACAGCAUGGUGACAGUUGUGACAGAGAAGAAGAUUAGGAUUUGCAUGGAUCCCAAAGAUCUCAACAUUGCAAUACGAAGAGAACAUUAUCCACUUCUUACAGUGGAAGAGGUAGUGUCAUGCAUGCCUGAUGCAAAACUCUUCUCUGUGCUAGACGCAAACCAAGGCUUUUAUCAAAUAAAACUGGAUGAUGAAAGUUCUAAACUCUGUACCUUCAAUACUCCAACUGGAAGAUACAGAUUCAAGCGUCUUCCUUUUGGCAUAUCAUCAGCAAGUGAAGUAUUCCAGAGAGCAGUGGCCCAAAUGAUAGAAGGGUUGGAUGGUGUUGUCAACAUCAUUGAUGAUCUGUUGGUUUGGGGAAACACGAUGGAGCAACACAAUGAGAGAUUACAAAAGUUGCUUCAAAGAGCUGACGAACAUGGACUAAGGUUCAAUAAAUCCAAGUGCAAGUUCAGGACGGCGGAAGUCAAAUACAUCGGACACACUGUAAGUGCAGCAGGUCUGAGGCCAGAUGACGAAAAGAUCCGAGCCAUAAUCCAAAUGCCGCCACCUACGGAAAAACAAUCACUGAUGCGGUUUAUGAGAAUGGUCCAAUAUCUGUCCAAGUUCACACCCAAUCUAGCUGAAGUCUCUGCACCAAUCAGGAAGCUGUUGCAAGCUCUAAAAACAAUGUCAAUGCGAGGCUGGCCAAGGGACAGAUCUGCUGUGCCAGAGUGCAUUAAACCCUUUUGGAUGUUCAGGGAAGAGAUCAGUUUCUCUUCAGGUCUAAUGUUCAAAGCAGAUAAGAUCAUAGUCCCACAGCAGCUGAGAUCAGAGAUGCUGAAAAAGAUACAUGGGUCAUAUCUGGAGUGGUCAAAUGCAAAGAACGAGCAAGAGAUGUGUUGUACUGGCCAGGAAUGUCUUCUCAAAUAG
rnacentral:lncRNA from 1 species